rnacentral:tRNA from 1 species
UACCUGGUGGUUCAGUGGCUAAGACUCUGCGCUCCCAACGCAGGGGACCCAGGUUCAAUCUCUGGUCAGGAAA